rnacentral:rRNA from 1 species
GGGUGAGUAACACGUGGGUGAUCUGCCCCUGACUUUGGGAUAAGCCUGGGAAACUGGGUCUAAUACCGAAUAUUCAUUUUUCCUCGCAUGGGGAUUUGUGGAAAGCUUUUGCGGUUGGGGAUGGGCCCGCGGCCUAUCAGCUUGUUGGUGGGGUAAUGGCCUACCAAGGCGACGACGGGUAGCCGACCUGAGAGGGUGAUCGGCCACACUGGGACUGAGACACGGCCCAGACUCCUACGGGAGGCAGCAGUGGGGAAUAUUGCACAAUGGGCGCAAGCCUGAUGCAGCGACGCCGCGUGAGGGAUGACGGCCUUCGGGUUGUAAACCUCUUUCAGCUCCGACGAAGCGCAAGUGACGGUAGGAGCAGAAGAAGCACCGGCCAACUACGUGCCAGCAGCCGCGGUAAUACGUAGGGUGCAAGCGUUGUCCGGAAUUACUGGGCGUAAAGAGCUCGUAGGCGGUUUGUCGCGUCGUCUGUGAAAUUCUGCAGCUUAACUGCAGGCGUGCAGGCGAUACGGGCAGACUUGAGUACUACAGGGGAGACUGGAAUUCCUGGUGUAGCGGUGAAAUGCGCAGAUAUCAGGAGGAACACCGGUGGCGAAGGCGGGUCUCUGGGUAGUAACUGACGCUGAGGAGCGAAAGCGUGGGUAGCGAACAGGAUUAGAUACCCUGGUAGUCCACGCCGUAAACGGUGGGUACUAGGUGUGGGUUUCAUU